GACCUUGAAAUACCACCCUUUAAUGUUUGAUGUUCUAACGUGGACCCGUGAUCCGGGUUGCGGACAGUGUCUGGUGGGUAGUUUGACUGGGGCGGUCUCCUCCUAAAGAGUAACGGAGGAGCACGAAGGUUGGCUAAUCCUGGUCGGACAUCAGGAGGUUAGUGCAAUGGCAUAAGCCAGCUUGACUGCGAGCGUGACGGCGCGAGCAGGUGCGAAAGCAGGUCAUAGUGAUCCGGUGGUUCUGAAUGGAAGGGCCAUCGCUCAACGGAUAAAAGGUACUCCGGGGAUAACAGGCUGAUACCGCCCAAGAGUUCAUAUCGACGGCGGUGUUUGGCACCUCGAUGUCGGCUCAUCACAUCCUGGGGCUGAAGUAGGUCCCAAGGGUAUGGCUGUUCGCCAUUUAAAGUGGUACGCGAGCUGGGUUUAGAACGUCGUGAGACAGUUCGGUCCCUAUCUGCCGUGGGCGCUGGAGAACUGAGGGGGGCUGCUCCUAGUACGAGAGGACCGGAGUGGACGCAUCACUGGUGUUCGGGUUGUCAUGCCAAUGGCACU
rnacentral:rRNA from 1 species